CAGGUGGCUUGAGAAGUAUGAUGCCCAACCUGGUUUGAAUGGGCUUAUGAUGAACUCCCUGGCAGCAAAGGCUAAAGAAAAUCCCGCAGACUACACGCUGUGCAGCAUGAUGUUGGAUGGCAUGAGCAUCAAGCAAAAGAUGGAAUAUGAUGCUAAGACAAACAAGACUGUUGGAUUUGUUGAUUUGGGAGCUGGUUCAGUGGAAGAUGUGGAGGCUAAAGAAGCACUAGUAGUCAUGCUCGUUGGCUUGAAAGCUAAUUGGAAGUGUGCAAUUGCAUACUACUUCACCAAAGGACUGUCCUCUGAACAACAAACAGAACUUGUAAAGCACUGUCUGGAUGCAUGCCAUGAAGCUAAUCUCAGAGUGUGCUCACUCACCAUGGAUGGCCACAGUACAAACCAAGGAUAGUAUAAGAGUAUUAUACUAUCCUUGGUACAAACAAGGGUAUGGCUAAGCUGCUGGGUUGCAGACUGAAGCUUGCGUCAUCAUUUUGUCCUUCAUUUGACUACAAUGGUCAUAAGAUACACCUGUAUUUUGAUGCUUGCCAUAUGGUCAAACUAGUACGAAACACUCUAGAAGCGUACAGUGUCAUUGUGGGGCCAUCAGGACGGAUUGUGUGGCAGUUCAUCAAAGAUUUACACACAACACAGGAAGACAUUGGUUUGCGUCUUGGGAACAAGCUGACUCCAGACCAUAUUGACUUCAAGAACAAGAAGAUGAAAGUCAAGCUGGCAGUCCAAGUGCUCUCAUCGUCUGUGGCAUCAGCAUUGGAAUUUCUCCAAUCAACUGGAAUGUAUUCCUUCUCGAAUGCUGGCCCAACAGUGGAAUUCAUACGGAGGAUUGACCGCCUGUUUGAUGUUCUUAAUAGUCGCUCACCAUACGGCAAGGGAACAAAACAGCCAAUCAGGACGGAGAACUGGGCUGAAAUCAAGACGUUCCUGCUUGAAACAAAGGACUACUUGACAGCCUUGAAGACUGUGGAAGGGAUACCUUUGCAUACUUCAGUCAGAGGAACCUGUAUCGUAGGACUAUGCAUGGACAUCGUAAGCACCAUAGCUAUAGUAGAAGAGCUCAUGCUUCCCAAGGUGCAUGGUUUCAACUACUUCUUGACCUAUCGAACAAGUCAAGAUCACCUUGAACUUUUCUUCUGCGCUGUCAGGCAAUGUGGUGGAUCUUCAAACAACCCCACAGCAGGACAGUUCACAAGCAUCUUCAGGCGACUUCUGGCCCGUACCGGCCGUUUGCUUGGAUCCGCGGAAGCAAAUU